UACGUAGGGUGCGAGCGUUAAUCGGAAUUACUGGGCGUAAAGGGCUCGUAGGCGGCCAACUAAGUCAGACGUGAAAUCCCCAGGCUCAACCUGGGAACUGCGUCUGAUACUGGUUGGCUUGAAUCCGGGAGAGGGAUGCAGAAUUCCAGGUGUAGCGGUGAAAUGCGUAGAUAUCUGGAGGAAUACCGGUGGCGAAGGCGGCAACCUGGACCGGCAUUGACGCUGAGGAGCGAAAGCCAGGGGAGCAAACGGG
rnacentral:rRNA from 1 species